rnacentral:rRNA from 1 species
GUGUCAGCAGCCGCGGUAAUACGUAGGCAGCGAGCGUUGUUCGGAGUUACUGGGCGUAAAGGGUGUGUAGGCGGUUGUUUAAGUUUGGUGUGAAAUCUCCCGGCUCAACUGGGAGGGUGCGCCGAAUACUGAAUGACUUGGAGUGCGGGAGAGGAGAGUGGAAUUCCUGGUGUAGCGGUGAAAUGCGUAGAUAUCAGGAGGAACACCGGUGGUGUAGACGGCUCUCUGGACCGUAACUGACGCUGAGACACGAAAGCGUGGGUAGCAAACAGGAUUAGAAACCCGAGUAGUCC